UCCCGCAUAAAACCCAGUUUCUCUGAAUCUGUUGGAGAUGGAACACAGCGUCACAAUACCCUAAACCCAGAGGUGUCAGUUUGUAUUGAUGGCUGUAACAUUAGACGGAGAGGAGUAUGAAUUUAAUGGAGAAAGUAUGACCAGAACAAGUGACAGUUAGAAACAGAAGAAAUAAUUAAACAGUAACAAAAUAGAGUAAAACAUACUUAUCCUAACACC